CGCGUAGGUGGUUAAUUAAGUCAAAUGUGAAAUCCCCGAGCUUAACUUGGGAAUUGCAUUCGAUACUGGUUAGCUAGAGUAUGGGAGAGGAUGGUAGAAUUCCAGGUGUAGCGGUGAAAUGCGUAGAGAUCUGGAGGAAUACCGAUGGCGAAGGCAGCCAUCUGGCCUAAUACUGACACUGAGGUGCGAAAGCAUGGGGAGCAAACAGGAUUAGAUACCCUGGUAGUCCAUGCCGUAAACGAUGUCUACUAGCCGUUGGGGGAUUUGAUCCUUUAGUGGCGCAGCUAACGCGAUAAGUAGACCGCCUGGGGAGUACGGUCGCAAGACUAAAACUCAAAUGAAUUGACGGGGGCCCGCACAAGCGGUGGAGCAUGUGGUUUAAUUCGAUGCAACGCGAAGAACCUUACCUGGCCUUGACAUAGUAGAGACUUUCCAGAGAUGGAUUGGUGCCUUCGGGAAUCUACAUACAGGUGCUGCAUGGCUGUCGUCAGCUCGUGUCGUGAGAUGUUGGGUUAAGUCCCGCAACGAGCGCAACCCUUUUCCUUACUUGCCAGCAUUUCGGAUGGGAACUUUAAGGAUACUGCCAGUGACAAACUGGAGGAAGGCGGGGACGACGUCAAGUCAUCAUGGCCCUUACGGCCAGGGCUACACACGUGCUACAAUGGUCGGUACAAAGGGUUGCUACACAGCGAUGUGAUGCUAAUCUCAAAAAGCCGAUCGUAGUCCGGAUCGCAGUCUGCAACUCGACUGCGUGAAGUCGGAAUCGCUAGUAAUCGCGGAUCAGAAUGCCGCGGUGAAUACGUUCCCGGGCCUUGUACACACCGCCCGUCACACCAUGGGAGUUU
rnacentral:rRNA from 1 species